rnacentral:rRNA from 1 species
ACAUAGGCGGGCAAGAGACAACCUGGUGAACUGAAACAUCUUAGUAGCCAGAGGAAAAGAAAGCAAAAGCGAUUCCCUGAGUAGUGGCGAGCGAAACGGGAACAGCCUAAACCGCUCAUAAGAGCGGGGUUGUGGGGGAGCGUUUCAAGCCAAGGGUCACUAGGCGAAGCAUCUGAAUAAUGCGCCAUAGAUGGUGAUAGCCCAGUAACCAAAAGUACCUGCGGCUUGUGCUCUAACCCGAGUAGCAUGGGGCACGUGGAACCCCGUGUGAAUCAGCGAGGACCACCUCGUAAGGCUAAAUACUCCUGGGUGACCGAUAGCGAAGUAGUACCGUGAGGGAAAGGUGAAAAGAACCCCCAUCGGGGAGUGAAACAGACCAUGAAACCGUAGGCCUCCAAGCAGUGGGAGGAGAAUGGAAUCUCUGACCGCGUGCCUGUUGAAGAAUGAGCCGGCGACUUAUAGGCAGUGGCCUGGUUAAGGGAAUACCGGAGCCGUAGCGAAAGCGAGUCAUCCUAGGGCGUAUGUCACUGUUUAUGGACCCGAACCCGGGUGAUCUAACCAUGGCCAGGGUGAAGCUUGGGUGAAGCCAAGUGGAGGCCCGAACCGACUGAUGUUGAAAAAUCAGCGGAUGAGCUGUGGUUAGGGGUGAAAUGCCACUCGAACUCGGAGCUAGCUGGUUCUCCCCGAAAUGCGUUGAGGCGCAGCGGUUGACUGGACUGCCUAGGGGUAAAGCACUGUUUCGGUGCGGGCUGCGAGAGCGGUACCAAAUCGAGGCAAACUCUGAAUACUAGGCAUAGUCAUGGGUCAGCCAGUGAGACGGUGGGGGAUAAGCUCCAUCGUCGAGAGGGAAACAGCCCAGAUCACCAGCUAAGGCCCCUAAAUGGCCGCUAAGUGGCAAAGGAGGUGAGAGUGCAAAGACAGCCAGGAGGUUUGCCUAGAAGCAGCCACCCUUGAAAGAGUGCGUAAUAGCUCACUGAUCGAGCGCUCUCGCGCCGAAGAUGAACGGGACUAAGCGGUCUGCCGAGGCUGUGGGAUGUCUUCUUUGAUAUAAGACAUCGGUAGGGGAGCGUUCCGCGUUAGGCUGAAGCAUUAGCGCAAGCAGGUGUGGACGAGGCGGAAGCGAGAAUGUCGGCUUGAGUAACGCAAACAUUGGUGAGAAUCCAAUGCCCCGAAAACCCAAGGGUUCCUCCGCAAGGCUCGUCCACGGGGGGUUAGUCAGGGCCUAAGAUCAAGCCGAACGGCGCAGUCGAUGGACAACAGGUCAAGAUUCCUGUACUGCUUCUUGCUGAAAGAAGAGGGACGGAGGAGGCUAGGUUAGCCAAGUUGGUUAUACGCUUGUACCAAUGCCACACUCCCAAGAAAAGCUCUUCCGCUUCGGUUUCCGAGGCAGCAAGUGAGUACCUGUACCCAAAACCGACACAGGUGGGUAGGUAGAGAAUACCUAGGGGCGCGNNNNNACUCUCUCUAAGGAACUCGGCAAGAUGGCCCCGUAACUUCGGRAGAAGGGGUGCCUCCCUUUCACGGGAGGCCGCAGUGACCAGGCCCAGGCGACUGUUUACCAAAAACACAGGUCUCCGCAAAGUCGUAAGACGACGUAUGGGGGCUGACGCCUGCCCAGUGCCGGAAGGUUAAGGAAGUCGGUGACCCGAAAACGGGGAAGCUGGCGACCGAAGCCCCGGUGAACGGCGGCCGUAACUAUGACGGUCCUAAGGUAGCGAAAUUCCUUGUCGGGUAAGUUCCGACCCGCACGAAAGGCGUAACGAUCUGGGCACUGUCUCGGAGAGAGACUCGGUGAAAUAGACUUGUCUGUGAAGAUGCGGACUACCUGCACCUGGACAGAAAGACCCUAUGAAGCUUUACUGUUCCCUGGGAUGGGCUUUGGGCCUCUCUUGCGCAGCUUAGGUGGAAGGCAGAGACGGUAUCCUUCCGGGGAUACUCGAGCCGCCAAUGAGACACCACCCUAGAGGGGCUAGGAUUCUAACCUUAGACCUAGAAGAAGGAUAGGGGACAGUCCCAGGCAGACAGUUUCUAUGGGGCGUAGGCCUCCCAAAGGGUAACGGAGGCGUGCAAAGGUUCCCUCAGGCUGGACGGAAAUCAGCCUUCGAGUGCAAAGGCAGAAGGGAGCUUGACUGCGAGACCCACAUGUCGAGCAGGGACGAAAGUCGGCCUUAGUGAUCCGACGGUGCCGAGUGGAAGGGCCGUCGCUCAACGGAUAAAAGUUACUCUAGGGAUAACAGGCUGAUCUUCCCCAAGAGUUCACA